rnacentral:rRNA from 1 species
GAUAUUGGUCAAUGGGGGGAACCCUGAACCAGCGACACCGCGUGAGGGAAGAAGGUUUUCGGAUUGUAAACCUCUGUUGUCGGGGAAGAUAAUGACGGUACCCGACGAGGAAGCAACGGCUAACUACGUGCCAGCAGCCGCGGUAAUACGUAGGUGGCAAGCGUUAUCCGGAAUUAUUGGGCGUAAAGCGCGCGCAGGCGGUUUCUUAAGUCUGAUGUGAAAGCCCACGGCUCAACCGUGGAGGGUCAUUGGAAACUGGGAAGCUUGAGUGCAGAAGAGGAGAGUGGAAUUCCAUGUGUAGCGGUGAAAUGCGUAGAGAUAUGGAGGAACACCAGUGGCGAAGGCGACUCUCUGGUCUGCAACUGACGCUGAGGCGCGAAAGCGUGGGGAGCGAACA